UCCUAUCUAUCAGUGAUAUUACUAUUUCUAAUAUUAUUAUUUUUGUAGCUACAAGAUUCGUAUAGAUUAUUCAACAUCUUUGAUUGAACCUCUAUACUAUUAUUUUAGCUAACCAUUCAUCAAUUGUCUUUCUAAUAAUAUGAUCUCAAUAUUUAUGUAUUACUCAUGCCCUUUUUACACUUUGCACUACCAUUUUAUUUCAUAUCAUUGUUCAUAUCUUAUUACUCAUUUAUUAAUCAUAAGUUAUUUAACUAAACAUUAUACAUGAAUUUAAUGUAUU
rnacentral:lncRNA from 1 species